GGGGGUGACUGGGUGACAGGCACUGAGGGGGGCACUUGACGGGAUGAGCACUGGGUGUUAUUCUGUAUGUUGGCAAAUUGAACACCAAUAAAAAAUAAAUUUAUUAUUUAAAACAAAAACUACAGCUACUUAUGAUAAAAAUUAAAUAGUAACUCCAGUGAUCCUGAAAAUGAAGAAUUAGAGAAGACUUAAAAAAAUAAAAUAAAAAAGAGGAAGUCCCGCAUUGCUUCAGGUGAUGCACCUCGGCCUGUUCCCGGAACCUCGGGUCCCAGAACUACUCCUUCCUCUCUCAGGUCUGAGGCUGGUGCAGGCCCGGCGGAGGGGACCGGGGCGCUGGCGGGAGCCCGGGAGCCAGGAGCGCAUGCGCCGCGAGUGGGCGGUUCCCUUGUCCCCCGCGGCUCCUUCAGCGCCUGCGCCGCCCGCACCGCAGGCUGCCGUCCUCUGGCGCAGAGGAUUUGUGCGGCCCCACAGAAACUAUUCUGCCUUAGAUUCUGCGCCAGGCCACCCCCAGAAUGUCCAUUCCAGAAUGAGAAGUCUGUCAUCAAGCAUGCUGAGUAAAUAAAGGCUGGUUUAUCUGCUGUAACAGUAAGAUAUUUCCUAUCAUCCUGGCCUUAACAAGGGUGAAAUCUUCUCUGAAUAUAUUCAGUGUGUACAGACAUUGAAAUACCAUUUCCUCUUAGAAAUGAGUGGGAGGUAGGCCAGUGUAUGUUGGGGGCUGAGGAGGAUGUUAAGAAUUUAAAAGUUUAGAAAAAAUGGGAGAGUUGGGUGGAUGGGACUAUAGACAGAACCAUGGUUUUUACACACAGCAAUGUCGGAAGUGAUAAUUUUUUAACUUGCUAAGCUUUACAUGAAAAUAACUCCAUCUGUGAGAAGAUGAAGGGCUUUUGUUACACCUUGCCAGUACAUAAUCAAAAUGAUCUCCCCCAAACAUAUUUGCUGGUCAUUAUAGAAGAUUCAUAUAAGUUAUGGUAAAAAGUUAUAUUGACAGACAUUGACUCUCUAACUUCUUUGGGACUUAGAGUUAACUGCUUAAACAAGACUCAGCAGCUUCAAGUAUAGCUCUUAAGAUUUAAGUAGGCCAUUGUCCAGAUUGUGAAACUCCGCUAAGUAGCAUGCUCUUUCCUUCCGCUCCUUAUUUUGUUUUUCUUUUCCUUGUUACUGCUUUAAAUCAUCCCCUGUCACAGCUUGUAAAGGGCUUCAGGCUAGUCAGUAGGUGCUAUAUAAAUUCAAAAGACUGAUGUCUACCCACAGGAGCUUAUCCAACACACUCCAAAAAAGAUCAUACUAUCAUAAUAUUCAUUAGUAUUCAUUAGAUACUAUUCAAAUUAUCAUACUAUUCAUAAUAUUAGAUCAUAUUAUCAUACUAUGUCAUU
rnacentral:lncRNA from 1 species